rnacentral:rRNA from 1 species
CUAACAAGGAUUCCCUUAGUAACUGCGAGUGAAGAGGGAAAAGCUCAAAUUUAAAAUCUGGCAGUGCUUCACUGUCCGAGUUGUAACCUAGAGAAGUGUAACCUGCGCUGGACCGUGUAUAAGUCUCCUGGAAUGGAGCAUCACAGAGGGUGAGAAUCCCGUCUUUGACACGGACUACCAGUGCAUUGUGGUUGCGCUCUCAACGAGUCGAGUUGUUUGGGAAUGCAGCUCUAAAUGGGUGGUAAAUUCCAUCUAAAGCUAAAUAUUGGCGAGAGACCGAUAGCGAACAAGUACCGUGAGGGAAAGAUGAAAAGAACUUUGGAAAGAGAGUUAAACAGUAUGUGAAAUUGUUGAAAGGGAAACGUUUGAAGUCAGUCGCGUUGGUUGGGGAUCAGCCUGACAUUUGUUGGGUGUACUUCCUGGUUGACGGGCCAACAUCAGUUUUGACUGCCAGAAAAAGGCCAAAGGAAUGUGGCACCUUUGGGUGUGUUAUAGCCCUUGGUCGUAUAUGGUGGUUGGGACUGAGGAAAGCAGCRUGCCGAAAGGCCGGGUUUCGACCACGUUCACGCUGAGGAUGUUGGCAUAAUGGCUUUAAGCGACCCGUCUUGAAACACGGACCAAGGAGUCUAACAUGCGUGCGAGUGUUUGGGUGGAAAACCCUUACGCGUAAUGAAAGUGAAAGUUGAGAUCCCUGUCGCGGGGAGCAUCGACGCCCGGACCAGAACUUUUGGGACGGAUCUGCGGUAGAGCAUGUAUGUUGGGACCCGAAAGAUGGUGAACUAUGCCUGAAUAGGGUGAAGCCAGAGGAAACUCUGGUGGAGGCUCGUAGCGAUUCUGACGUGCAAAUCGAUCGUCAAAUUUGGGUAUAGGGGCGAAAGACUAAUCG